GACGAAGGGGGCUAGCGUUGUUCGGAAUUACUGGGCGUAAAGCGCGUGUAGGCGGUUGCCAAAGUCGGGUGUGAAAGCCUUGAGCUCAACUCAAGAAAUGCACUCGAUACUUGGUAACUAGAGGACCGGAGAGGAUAGUGGAAUUCCCAGUGUAGUGGUGAAAUACGUAGAGAUUGGGAAGAACACCAGUGGCGAAGGCGGCUAUCUGGACGGUUUCUGACGCUAAGACGCGAAAGCGUGGGGAGCGAACAGG
rnacentral:rRNA from 1 species